AUUGAACGCUGGCGGCAUGCCUUACACAUGCAAGUCGAACGGUAACAGGGAGCUUGCUCCGCUGACGAGUGGCGAACGGGUGAGUAAUGUAUCGGAACGUACCAUUCAGUGGGGGAUAACGUAGCGAAAGUUACGCUAAUACCGCAUAUUCUGUGAGCAGGAAAGCAGGGGAUCGCAAGACCUUGCGCUGAUUGAGCGGCCGAUAUCAGAUUAGCUAGUUGGUGAGGUAAAGGCUCACCAAGGUGACGAUCUGUAGCGGGUCUGAGAGGAUGAUCGCCACACUGGAACUGAGACACGGUCCAGACUCCUACGGGAGGCAGCAGUGGGGAAUUUUGGACAAUGGGGGCAACCCUGAUCCAGCCAUGCCGCGUGAGUGAAGAAGGCCUUCGGGUUGUAAAGCUCUUUCGGCCGGGAAAAAUCGCAUCAGUUAAUACCUGGUGUGGAUGAUGGUACCGGAAUAAGAAGACACCGGCUAACUACGUGACCG
rnacentral:rRNA from 1 species